rnacentral:rRNA from 1 species
AGUGAACGCUGGCGGUAGGCCUAACACAUGCAAGUCGAACGGCAGCACAGUAAGAGCUUGCUCUUACGGGUGGCGAGUGGCGGACGGGUGAGGAAUACAUCGGAAUCUACUUUUUCGUGGGGGAUAACGUAGGGAAACUUACGCUAAUACCGCAUACGACCUACGGGUGAAAGCAGGGGAUCUUCGGACCUUGCGCGAUUGAAUGAGCCGAUGUCGGAUUAGCUAGUUGGCGGGGUAAAGGCCCACCAAGGCGACGAUCCGUAGCUGGUCUGAGAGGAUGGUCAGCCACACUGGAAGUGGAACGCGGUCCCGGCGCCUACGGGAGGGAGCAGUGGGGAAUAUUGGGCAAUGGGCGGAAACCUGGUCCAGCCAUACCGCGUGGGUGAAGGAGGCCUUCGGGGUGUAAAGCCCUUUUGUUGGGAAAGAAAAGCAGCAGGUUAAUACCCCGCUGUUCUGACGGUACCCAAAGAAUAAGCACCGGCUAACUUCGUG